UACGGAGGGGGCUAGCGUUGUUCGGAAUUAUUGGGCGUAAAGGGCGCGUAGGCGGCCGAAUAAGUCUGACGUGAAAUCCCCCGGCCCAACCGGGGAACUGCGUUUGAUACUGUUUGGCUCGAGUCCGGGAGAGGGUAGUGGAAUUCCCAGUGUAGCGGUGAAAUGCGUAGAUAUUGGGAGGAACACCGGUGGCGAAGGCGGCUACCUGGACCGAGACUGACGCUGAGGCGCGAAAGCGUGGGGAGCGAACAGG
rnacentral:rRNA from 1 species